UACGAAGGGGGCAAGCGUUGUUCGGAAUCACUGGGCGUAAAGCGUGCGCAGGCGGAUCAGCCAGUCAGAGGUGAAAUCCCAGGGCUCAACCCUGGAACUGCCUUUGAUACUGUUGAUCUAGAGUCCGAGAGAGGGUGGCGGAAUUCCCAGUGUAGAGGUGAAAUUCGUAGAUAUUGGGAGGAACACCAGUGGCGUAGGCGGCCACCUGGCUCGGUACUGACGCUCAGGCACGAAAGCGUGGGGAGCAAACAGG
rnacentral:misc_RNA from 1 species